rnacentral:misc_RNA from 1 species
UCCCGGUUGGCCCGGGCAGUCUCGUAUGAAAAGACAACAUACGACAAGGGUUGCGCUCGUUGCGGGACUUAACCCAACAUCUCACGACACGAGCUGACGACGGCCAUGCAGCACCUGUCACCAGGUUCCCGAAGGCACAACCACCUUUCGGCGGUCUUCCUGGGAUGUCAAACCUCGGUAAGGUUCUUCGCGUAGCUUCGAAUUAAACCGCAUCCUCCACCGCUUGUGCGGGUCCCCGUCAAUUCCUUUGAGUUUUAAACUUGCGUUCGUACUCCCCAGGCGGAUCACUUAACGCGUUAGCUUUGUGACACAGGGGGUCGAAACCCCAUAUCACUAGUGAUCAUAGUUUACGGCGUGGACUAC